ensembl:scaRNA small Cajal body-specific RNA 2
UUUGAAUGGCGCGUGUGUGGAGUGGUUGUGAGAGUGUUUGGCGAGUGACUGAAUGAGUGUCUGAGUGAGGGAAUGUGUGGCUGUGUGAAUGAGUCUCGUCUUUAAAACCUACACAGUGAUCUUAUUUGAUCUGGUCGGAGUCGGGCUCUGUUCUGAUCGGAGAUGAUAUGAAAAGCGCUCGCGAGCCUCCGUGGCGGUGAGCAGCAGGCAACGUUGAACCUCAGGGCCUCCACGCUUUGAGCUGUGGUCAGAGGUGAUGAAUUGAUCAGAUAUACUAGUCCUGAGAGGCUCUGGGUUCAUCUCAGCGCUUCACUGGACAAUGAGUAUAGAGGCGAUUCUGAUCUUA